CGGGUUUCCAUCUUCCCUCCACUGGCGGCAGGUGUGCAGGAGGUAGGCAGCUGGGGGAGGAGGACCUUUAGCGACUGCGAUCUGGAGCGCUCAGACCUUGCGCUCAGAUAAGUCAGCCCACUGGUCACCUGGCCUCCGCUCUUGUCUCCCUACAGACGUCCUCUCUACUCCACAGCCCCUGCAGGGUAAGUAUGAACCUGCAGGGUAAGUAUGAACCCUUCACUCAAUACGCAGGCCUCGGUGAACUUGCAGGUACCUGGAGGCAUCAUGCUGGUCCCUGCUUCCCAACGUUUGCACGUGCUGCUCCCUCCUGGAAAGCUGUUUCCCUCGGCACACACAGAGACAUGAACCCUUCCUUCAAGAAGAUUCCUCUUAAUGUCCUCUCCCUGGCUUCUCUACCUUCCUGAGCCUCAAUUUCUUCACGUACAAAACGGGGAUAGAAUCAUCUUCACCUCACCGGGUUAUUGCGGGGGUCCAAUGAGCUAGUAAUGUCCGCACAACGUUCAAGGCGAUGCUUGGCACAUAGUAGCUGCUCAUGAAAAGUUGUUGCCGAACAAAU
rnacentral:lncRNA from 1 species